UUGUCUAUAUUGCGGAUCGGAGAGAGAGAGAGAGAGAUUGGUUCGUGGCCAAUUAGGGUAAAUUUCUACCAAAAGAACACUCCCUGUAGCCACCAUGAGCUAUCCCUACUACUCUCCUCCACCACCUUCACCACCUCUCCCUUGUGCUCCUCCCCCACCGUCUCCGCCACCCCCAUGUAACCCUGUAACCCCAUCACCACCUCCACCUCCACCACCUCACCGCCACGGCCAUCAUCACCAUCAUCAUCCAAAAUCACCCCCGAAACACUACAAUGUGCAACCACCUCCUCCUCCUCCAUCACCAUCACCGCCACCUCCCCAUCACCAUGACUAUCCCAAGCCACCGCCUCUGUCAUCUCCUCCUCCACCACCUCCUCACCAUGACUAUCCUAAGCCACCAUCUUCUUCACCUCCACCACCACCACAUCAUCAUCACCAUCACUACCCUAAAGCAUCACCUCCUCCUCCAUCACCAUCUCCUCCUCCACCUCACCACCAUGACUAUCCUAAACCUCCUCCACCUUCACCGUCACCACCUCACCACCAUGACUACCCUAAACCUCCCCCGCCCACUGCUUCACCACCACACCACCAUCACUACCCUAAACCUCCACCACCCACUGCUUCACCACCUCACCACCAUGACUACCCUAAACCUCCACCACCUAUUGCUUCACCACCGCAUCACCAUCACUACCCACCGCCAACCUGGGCUACUCCUCCAGCUUCACCACCAUCAGUUCCAGCACUGCCACCGCCCCAUUAUGCUCCUCCACCACAUGGUUAUCAUCACACCCCACCCACUGUUCCACCACCACAUUACUCUCCAAAAUCAUCACCCCCAAAACCCAGCUAUGAGGCGCCGCCACCAAAGUCGUACCCGCCAAAGCCAAGUAAGGGCGCACCACCACCCAAGUCGUACCCGCCAAAGCCAAGUAAGGGCGCACCACCACCC
rnacentral:lncRNA from 1 species